UACAACGAUCAACCACUGCAGUAAUGACUCGAUCAGUUUUUGUGUAUUGUACGAAAACCGAACCUUUUCCGCUAAUGUCGAAACCUUUUUGUCAUAGACUGUACAUUGGGAGAAUUUUCAUGGGCUUCAUGUAUCUGAUCCAUUUUUCCUUUCAAGACACCAUACUGUCCACCCCCAUGUUGUUUCUGUGCAUUCCCUACUUCCUUGAAUGUUUUUACCCAGUGUAGAAGGAUAUCCUAUUUUGGGGGACUCUUCCUGUACACAUCUGAAGUUUCUUUGUAUGGCUAUGACCUCAGCAAACCACAAUACACUCUGUACCUUCUCUUGCAAUGUUGUCAUUUUUUGACAAAAUCAACUACAAUGUCACUGCUGGACUCAAGAUACAAUCCUUAAAAUUCUGUCUGAAUUUCGAUCAUAUACUGAACCUUAUAGCACUGAGCAUUUUCCAAUAUGCAUAAUAGAUGAUUUUUAGCACACAGUUGAAAUCUACCUGUUUCAAACAGGACAUCCUGUAUUAUAAAUAAUUAUUAAAUGAAAAGCAUUCAGAAUGCUUUUCAUUUAAUGCCCAUUUAUAGAGAGCAGAGUUUAUUAUAUAUUAUAAUUCAGCAAUAUAGUUUUAGUUCUAAUAUUUAUAAAGUUGCCAAUGUGAAAUUUAAAAAAAAAAAAUACUACAAGUGCUCCUCAAUUUGUGAAUAUGUGUAUUUAAGAACAUGCUAUUUUAUUUUUAAUUUACAAAAAAUAUCAAAAA
rnacentral:lncRNA from 1 species